GAGAGGAGCCUGAGAAACGGUACCACAUACAAGGAAGGCAGCAGGCGCGCAAAUUAUUCACUCCCGGCACGGGGAGGUAGUGAUGAAAAAUAACAAUACGGGACUCUUCUGAGACCCCGUAAUUGGAAUGAGUACACUCUAAAUCCUUUAACGAGGAUCUAUUAGAGGGCAAGUYUGGUGCCAGCCGCCGCGGUAAUACCAGCUCUAAUAGCGUAUAUUAAAGUUGUUGCGGUUAAAAAGCUCGUAGUUGGAUCUCAGUUCCAGACGGGCGGUCCGCCUAACGGUGGUUACUGCUCGGCCUGAACAACCAGUCGGUUUCCCUAGAUGAUCUUCACUGGUUGUCCUGGGUGACCGGCACGUUUACUUUGAAGAAAUUAGAGUGCUCAAAGCAGGCGUAUCGCCUGAAUAAUGGUGCAUGGAAUAAUGGAAUAGGACCUCGGUUCUAUUUUGUUGGUUUUCGGAACACGAGGUAAUGAUUAAGAGGGACAGACGGGGGCAUUCGUAUUGCGGCGCUAGAGGUGAAAUUCUUGGACCGCCGCAAGACGAACUACU
rnacentral:rRNA from 1 species